UAGGGAAUAUUAGAAAUGGACGAAAGUCUGAUCUAGCAACACCGCGUGUGCGAAGAAGGCCUUCGGGUCGUAAAGCACUUUUUGGAAGGAAUAGGAAGGAAUGUACUUCCAGAAUAAGUCUCGGCUAACUACGUGCCAGCAGCCGCGGUAACACGUAGGAGGCGAACGUUAUCCGGAUUUACUGGGCGUAAAGCGCGUGUAGGUGGUUCUGUAAGUAGGGCGUGAAAGCUCCCGGCUCAACUGGGAGAGGCCGUUCUAAACUACAGAACUAGAGGAUGGUAGAGGGAGGUGGAAUUCCAGGUGUAGCGGUGGAAUGCGCAGAUAUCUGGAGGAACACCAGUGGCGAAGGCGGCCUCCUGGACCAUUCCUGACACUUAGACGCGAAGCUAGGGUAGCAAACG
rnacentral:rRNA from 1 species